rnacentral:rRNA from 1 species
UGACGGUAGCCAAGGAGGAAGCCCCGGCUAACUACGUGCCAGCAGCCGCGGUAAUACGUAGGGGGCGAGCGUUGUCCGGAAUUACUGGGUGUAAAGGGAGCGUAGACGGAGAAGCAAGUCUGAUGUGAAAGGCAUGGGCUCAACCUGUGGACUGCAUUGGAAACUGUUUUUCUUGAGUGCCGGAGGGGUAAGCGGAAUUCCUAGUGUAGCGGUGAAAUGCGUAGAUAUUAGGAGGAACACCAGUGGCGAAGGCGGCUUACUGGACGGUAACUGACGUUGAGGCUCGAAAGCGUGGGGAGCAAACAGGAUUAGAUACCCUG